rnacentral:rRNA from 1 species
ACGGGGCCGCACAAGCGGAGGAGCAUGUGGUUAAUUCGAUGAUACGCGAGGAACCUUACCUGGGCUCGAACGUAAGAUGACUGUAGGUGAAAGCUUACAUCUCUUCGGAGCAUUUUACGAGGUGCUGCAUGGUUGUCGUCAGCUCGUGCCGUGAGGUGUCGGGUUAAGUCCCAUAACGAGCGCAACCCCUACCUUUAGUUGCCAUCAGGUAAUGCUGGGGACUCUAAAGGAACUGCCUACGCAAGUAGUGAGGAAGGCGGGGAUGACGUCAAAUCAGCACGGCCCUUACGUCCAGGGCUACACACGUGCUACAAUGGCCGAUACAGAGGGCAGCUACCUGGUGACAGGAUGCAAAUCUCCAAAGUCGGUCUCAGUUCGGAUCGGAGUCUGCAACCCGACUCCGUGAAGUUGGAUUCGCUAGUAAUCGCGGAUCAGCAUGCCCGCGGUCGAAUACGUUCCCGGGCCUU